GGGUUUCACCAGGAGGACAGAAACAUCUGAGAUGAUGCUGACUGCUGUUUUGCCGGCACUUAUCUUCACCUGGACAGGAAAUGCUGUUGGAGUUGUAACGCUGUGUGACCAG